ensembl:scaRNA
AUGGAGGUCAAGAAAGUGAGGCAAAUGAAGACCAUGUUGCCUUCACUGAUACCCACCUCCAAAAUAAAGUAGCAGUCAGAACAUCCCUGGUCUACAGAGAAACGCCAAGGAUUGCUGCGUCUGCUUACAAAA